rnacentral:rRNA from 1 species
UACGAAGGGGGCGAGCGUUGUUCGGAAUUACUGGGCGUAAAGGGCGCGCAGGCGGCCUUAGAAGUCAGAUGUGAAAGCCCCGGGCUCAACCUGGGAAUGGCAUUUGAUACUCUGAGGCUGGAGUACGGGAGAGGAGAGUGGAAUUCCCAGUGUAGAGGUGAAAUUCGUAGAUAUUGGGAAGAACACCGGUGGCGAAGGCGGCUCUCUGGACCGUAACUGACGCUGAGGUGCGAAAGCGUGGGGAGCAAACAGG